rnacentral:tRNA from 1 species
GCUCUUGUAGCUCAGUCGGUAGAGCACUUCCUUGGUAAGGAAGAGGUCGUGGGUUCGAAUCCCGUCGAGAGCACCA